CAAACCCAGGGAGGAGAAGGCUCAGCUACUGCUCCCCAGCUGGCCAAUGACAGGAGGAGGGAAGCCCUGACCUCCUGACCCCACAGCUGGUGUUCCAACCAGAAGUCAGAAGAGAGUUUGUUAAGGGGGCCUCUGAGGACUCCAGGGAGCAUGUUGUCUAACUAGAAUCCCACCUGGUUGUACUGAAAGGAGCUGCAGCAGGCUACUUCUAACAGCAGAGACAUUGGCCCAGUGGGAGAAAUAUGCUCUUCAGAGCAUGUUGCUGAGCCAUCUGAUGUGACAAGAGCUGUGCAGUAGCAUCUGCAUCUCUGGACAGAACACAAAAACCAACUAUAAAACAGGCAAGUAAUGCAAACAAAAUGACUACCAGUGCUUGCCGUAGGUCUCAGAGCCAGCA